rnacentral:rRNA from 1 species
AAGUCGUAACAAGGUUUCCGUAGGUGAACCUGCGGAAGGAUCAUUAUCGAGUUAGGGUCUUCUAGGCCCGACCUCCAACCCUUUGUCUAUUUACUACUUGUUGCUUCGGCGAGUCCGCCCUUUGAAACACAGGGGCCGCCGGAGGGUUUUAUACCUCUGGUCCGCGCUCGACGAUAGCCAUUAUUAAACUCUUGUUUUAACUAUGUCGUCUAAGUAAAGCACUUAAUUAAAUUAAAACUUUCAACAACGGAUCUCUUGGUUCUGGCAUCGAUGAAGAACGCAGCGAAAUGCGAUAAGUAAUGCGAAUUGCAGAAUCCGUGAGUCAUCGAAUCUUUGAACGCAUAUUGCGCCCUUUGGUAUUCCGAAGGGCAUGCCUGUUCGAGCGUCAUUAUCACCUCUCAAGCCUGGCUUGCUGUUGGACUUUCGGUCUUGCUUUGGCGAUGACCAGUCUUAAAGAUAAUGACGGCGUCUGUGAGGACCCCUGUACACUGAGCUUUUAUAGCACGUACUAGGUGGAAGUCCGGGCCCGGUCUUACCCAUUUUUACUUAAAAGGUUGACCUCGGAUCAGGUAGGAAUACCCGCUGAACUUAAGCAUAUCAAUAAGCGGAGGAAAAGAAACCAACAGGGAUUGCCUCAGUAACGGCGAGUGAAGCGGCAACAGCUCAAAUUUGAAAUCUGGCCUUAUGGUCCGAGUUGUAAUUUGUAGAGGAUGUUUUGGGUACCGUUGCAGUUUAAAUUUCUUGGAACAGAAUGUCAGAGAGGGUGAGAGUCCCGUCUGGAACUGCGGUAGGGCCUAUGUAAAACUCCUUCGACGAGUCGAGUUGUUUGGGAAUGCAGCUCAAAAUGGGUGGUAAAUUUCAUCUAAAGCUAAAUAUUGGCCAGAGACCGAUAGCGCACAAGUAGAGUGAUCGAAAGAUGAAAAGCACUUUGAAAAGAGAGUUAAACAGUAUGUGAAAUUGUUGAAAGGGAAGCGCUUGUAAUCAGACUUGAGUAUGGCGGUUCCCCCUUGCUUUUGCUUGGGCUACUCCGUUAUAUCCAGGCCAACAUCGGUUUUAGGAGUUGGUUAAAGACCCUAGGAAUGUACCUACCCUCGGGUAGACUUAUAGCCUAGGGUGUCAUGCAACUUCCCGGGACCGAGGUACGCGCUUCGGCGAGGAUGUUGGCGUAAUGGUUAUAAGCGACC